rnacentral:rRNA from 1 species
AACGAACGCUGGCGGCAUGCCUAACACAUGCAAGUCGAACGAUGCCUUCGGGCAUAGUGGCGCACGGGUGCGUAACGCGUGGGAAUCUGCCCUUGGCUUCGGAAUAACAGUUAGAAAUGACUGCUAAUACCGGAUGAUGUCCCCCUGAGAGAUCUUGGGGACCAAAGAUUUAUCGGCCAGGGAUGAGCCCGCGUAGGAUUAGGUAGUUGGUGGGGUAAAGGCCUACCAAGCCGACGAUCCUUAGCUGGUCUGAGAGGAUGAUCAGCCACACUGGGACUGAGACACGGCCCAGACUCCUACGGGAGGCAGCAGUGGGGAAUAUUGGACAAUGGGGGGAACCCUGAUCCAGCAAUGCCGCGUGAGUGAUGAAGGCCUUAGGGUUGUAAAGCUCUUUUAACAGGGAUGAUAAUGACAGUACCUGGAGAAUAAGCUCCGGCUAACUCCGUG